rnacentral:rRNA from 1 species
UACGGAGGGGGCUAGCGUUGUUCGGAAUUACUGGGCGUAAAGCGCGCGUAGGCGGCUUUGUAAGUUAGAGGUGAAAGCCCGGAGCUCAACUCCGGAAUUGCCUUUAAGACUGCAUCGCUAGAAUCAUGGAGAGGUGAGUGGAAUUCCGAGUGUAGAGGUGAAAUUCGUAGAUAUUCGGAAGAACACCAGUGGCGAAGGCGACUCACUGGACAUGUAUUGACGCUGAGGU